UACAGAGACCUCAAGCGUUAUCCGGAAUCAUUGGGCGUAAAGCGUACCGAUAGGUGGUCUUACAAGUCAGAAGUGAAAUUCCAAAGCUUAACUUUGGGUCUGUCUUUUGAAACUGUAAGACUAGAGGGGCAAAGAGGAAGCUGGAACGAACGGUGUAGUAGUGAAAUGCGUUGAUAUCGUUCGGAACACCAAUAGCGUAGGCAGGCUUCUGGGUGCCACCUGACACUGCUAGGACGAAAGCGUGGGGAGCGAAUGGG
rnacentral:rRNA from 1 species